rnacentral:rRNA from 1 species
AACGUACGCUGGCGGCACGCCUAACACAUGCAAGUCGAACGAAGUAGCAAUACUUAGUGGCAGACGGGUGAGUAACAUGUAGGUAUCUGCCCUUUGGCCUGGAAUAACACGAGGAAACUUGUGCUAAUACCGGAUAAGUCUUUACGGAGAAAGCUUUAUGCACCAUUGGAUGAGCCUGCACUUGAUUAGUUUGUUGGUGGGGUAAUGGCCUACCAAGACUGUGAUCAAUAGCUGAUUUGAGAGGAUGAUCAGCCACAUUGGGACUGAGACACGGCCCAAACUCCUACGGGAGGCAGCAGUGGGGAAUCUUGCACAAUGGAGGAAACUCUGAUGCAGCGAUGCCGCGUGAGUGAAGAAGGCCCUUGGGUUGUAAAGCUCUUUCGUCGGGGAAGAAAAUGACUGUACCCGAAUAAGAAGGUCCGGCUAACUUCGUGCCAGCAGCCGCGGUAAUACGAAGGGACCUAGCGUAGUUCGGAAUUACUGGGCUUAAAGAGUUCGUAGGUGGUUGAAAAAGUUGGUGGUGAAAUCCCAGAGCUUAACUCUGGAACUGCCAUCAAAACUUUUCAGCUAGGGUAUGAUAGAGGAAAGCAGAAUUUCUAGUGUAGAGGUGAAAUUCGUAGAUAUUAGAAAGAAUACCAAUUGCGAAGGCAGCUUUCUGGAUCAUUACUGACGCUGAGGAACGAAAGCAUGGGUAGCGAAGAGGAUUAGAUACCCUCGUAGUCCAUGCCGUAAACGAUGUGUGUUAGACGUUGGAAAUUUAUUUUCAGUGUCGCAGCGAAAGCGAUAAACACACCGCCUGGGGAGUACGACCGCAAGGUUAAAACUCAAAUGAAUUGACGGGGACCCGCACAAGUAGUGGAGCAUGUGGUUUAAUUCGAAGAUACGCGCAGAACCUUACCAACACUUGACAUGUUCGUCGCGACUCUAAGAGAUUAGAGUUUUCGGUUCGGCCGGACGAAACACAGGUGCUGCAUGGCUGUCGUCAGCUCGUGUCGUGAGAUGUUGGGUUAAGUCCCGCAACGAGCGCAACCCUCACUUUUAGUUGCCAUCAUUAAGUUGGGCACUCUGAAAGAACUGCCAGUGAUAAGCUGGAGGAAGGUGGGGAUGACGUCAAGUCCUCAUGGCCCUUACGUGUUGGGCUACACACGUGCUACAAUGGUAUCUACAACAGGAAGCAAGACUGCGAAGUUAAGCAAAUCCCGAAAAGAUACCUCAGUUCGGAUUGCACUCUGCAACUCGAGUGCAUGAAGCUGGAAUUACUAGUAAUCGUAGAUCAGCGUGCUACGGUGAAUGCGUUCCCGGGUCU